rnacentral:rRNA from 1 species
AUUGCAGUCUGCAACUCGACUGCAUGAAGUCGGAAUCGCUAGUAAUCGCGGAUCAGCAUGCCGCGGUGAAUACGUUCCCGGGCCUUGUACACACCGCCCGUCACACCAUGAGAGUCGGGAACACCCGAAGUCCGUAGCCUAACCGCAAGGGGGCGCGGCCGAAGGUGGGUUCGAUAAUUGGGGUGAAGUCGUAACAAGGUAGC